GGCGGCAGGCCUAACACAUGCAAGUCGAGCGGAUGAAGGGAGCUUGCUCUCUGAUUCAGCGGCGGACGGGUGAGUAAUGCCUAGGAAUCUGCCUGGUAGUGGGGGACAACGUUUCGAAAGGAACGCUAAUACCGCAUACGUCCUACGGGAGAAAGCAGGGGACCUUCGGGCCUUGCGCUAUUAGAUGAGCCUAGGUCGGAUUAGCUAGUUGGUGAGGUAAUGGCUCACCAAGGCGACGAUCCGUAACUGGUCUGAGAGGAUGAUCAGUCACACUGGAACUGAGACACGGUCCAGACUCCUACGGGAGGCAGCAGUGGGGAAUAUUGGACAAUGGGCGAAAGCCUGAUCCAGCCAUGCCGCGUGUGUGAAGAAGGUCUUCGGAUUGUAAAGCACUUUAAGUUGGGAGGAAGGGCAUUAACCUAAUACGUUAGUGUUU
rnacentral:rRNA from 1 species